rnacentral:rRNA from 1 species
UUUGCCCUACGGGAGGCAGCAGUGAGGAAUAUUGGUCAAUGGGCGAGAGCCUGAACCAGCCAAGUCGCGUGAAGGAUGACGGCCCUACGGAUUGUAAACCUCUUUUGUCAGGGAGCAAGGGCGCCACGUGUGGCGUUUUGCGAGUACCUGAAGAAAAAGCAUCGGCUAACUCCGUGCCAGCAGCCGCGGUAAUACGGAGGAUGCGAGCGUUAUCCGGAUUUAUUGGGUUUAAAGGGUGCGCAGGCGGAAUGUCAAGUCAGCGGUAAAAUUUCGGGGCUCAACCCCCUCGUGCCGUUGAAACUGGC